CCCUUAGAUGUCCGGGGCUGCACGCGCGCUACACUGAAGGAAUCAGCGUGCUAAAACCAUUGUCGAAAGGCAUUGGUAAACCCAUUAAAAUCCUACGUGAUUGGGAUCGGGAAUUGCAAUUAUUUCCCUUGAACGAGGAAUUCCCAGUAAGUGUGGGUCAUAAGCUCGCGUUGAUUACGUCCCGGCCCUUUGUACACACCGCCCGUCGCUGCCCGGGACUGAGCCGUUUCGAGAAAAGCGGGGACUGCUGCUGUCGGGGCUUUCGGGCCUUGGCUUCGGUGGAAACCGCUUUAAUCGCAGUGGCUUGAACCGGGCAAAAGUCGUAACA
rnacentral:rRNA from 1 species